CUGUGAUGACUGAAAUGUGGUUCUGGGCUGGAUGUCGCACACCUGGAACCCUGAGGGACAACAAGGCGUGGCUGUAGUGCUGUGCCCAACCCCUGCCUUUCCUAAGACUUACUUCCCUGCAGUAUUCACAGGAACUCAGGUCUCAGGAGGCGAAGGACAAGGAAAUGCAAACGACCACGUCGCUGAAGUCCAACAGAGCAGCUAGGACAGAAGAGGACAGUGCUGACCUGCAGGGUGGCCAGGACGGAAGAGGACGGUGCUGACCUGCAGGGUGGCCAGGGCAGAAGAGGACAGUGCUGACCUGCAGAGUGGCCAGGGCAGAAGAGGACAGUGCUGACCUGCAGAGUGGCCAGGGCAGAAGAGGACAGUGCUGACCUGCAGAGUGGCCAGGGCAGAAGAGGACAGUGCUGACCUGCAGGGUGGCCAGGACGGAAGAGGAUGGUGCUGACCUGCAGAGUGGCCAGGGCAGAAGAGGACAGUGCUGACCUGCGGAGCAGCCACACCAGGCUUCUCCUACAGCCAGGACAACAGCCUCAUGAGGGUCACUCGCACUGUGACUGUGAACAGGCUGAGGUCCUGGCCCCCUGGGGGAAGCUGUGUGGAAGGUGUUCACACCCAUGCGUGUCUGUCCCCAGCCUCCUGCACUGGCCUUGCCGCUCACCGCAGACUCCUGGUUAACGGUGCUGCCUGGAUACACAUUUUAAAAUUAAAUCAAUGUCCAGAAGCAACCACGAAGAGCACUGAGCAACUCUCCGCUUCUUAAAAUCUUAAUAUCCAAGAAAAGGGUCGUCAGCGUGAAUGUGAAGCCUCCUUCUAACCAGAGACACCCGGCCAGCCGGAUGAUUCCGUCCUGAGACUGCCUCCGCCUCUGGCGCAACCCACUGCGGCGGAAUCAGUCUGGUCACUGGGAGCUGUUUUGGAAAAUAAAUCAGACUGAAUUCAGCCACC